UGACCCCGCCUGUGGAACCCCGGCUAAAGUCGCAGAAUCUAAUUAUGAAUAAAAGAGCGUCAAAGUAGUCAUAGCCAUAAAAAUGACAAAAAUAGGUAAUGUGUGUUUAUUGCUGUAAAUGAUAGAUUAUUGCAAGGGUUUUGAGAUUCAAUUCUCAAAUUUUAAUUUAUAACAUGAUAAAUACUAAAAUUAAUGAUUUUAUUGACACUACGUUAUACUUUUGCGCAGCAAAAAAAAAAAAACCGGACGCGGGCUUUAACAUUGAUUUCAAUCGUAUCCGGGUUUAUUUUUCAGCGCAACAACACUUGCUGAUUCCUAUCAUUCAGUUCAGGAACUUCUUUUUGACUUAUUUUCUAUUAGAAAGAGUAAACAGACCUUAAAAUCAAUCCGCACGAGUGGCAAUCAGGUCAACACAAUGGGAAAAAAGCGACUUCAUUCAGCCGGCCGGUUCAGAUCUCAGGAGGUGUUUCCGUGUCAUCGCCAAACAUUUAAUUUAAGAACAGCUUAUGUGUUUUGUAGCUCUGUAUUGUGCCAAUAAUAUUAUUAUAUUAUAUUAUAUUUGUGUCUUAUAAGUGUCAAUAAUAUAAUUCGUUAGCUGGAUUAACUGUUAACUGCGUCGUUUUGACAUCUGACAUGGCAGCACCGAAGCAUGUGCAAGAACGUAAAAUGUCUGAUUGCUUAAAUAUUAAUCUCGGUGGAAUUGCCCAAAUUAUGAUUUAAGCGGUUUUAUAGCGGAUUAUUUUCUGGAGGAUAAUGGUGAUGAUAAACAGGACACAUUCUUUGACGAAACUGAAGAGGAAUUUGACGGCAGUGACCAACAUGAUGAUGAGGACGAGCCAGUUUUGGUGAUUGAACCUCAACCUAUUAUAGACUGGCGAAUCUGAAGAGGGAACACCAACAAGAAGAAUUUGCUUCUAAUGUUGGAAUUCCAGAUGUAAAACUGAAAAUAAGUUUCUCUUGCAACUGCAAGUAUUUCAAUGCUGAAAAGUGUUCUUCAUUUUUCAAGGAGGGAGAGUUGCUGUCACUCAGGAUGAGUCAUUUGGAGAUGGACAAUACUGUACUAGACAUGGUAGUUUUAGUACAAAUACAAAGUCACUUGCACUCUGGGGAAGAAA